UACGUAGGGGGCAAGCGUUGUCCGGAUUUAUUGGGCGUAAAGAGCGUGUAGGCGGCCAUGUAGGUCCGUUGUGAAAACUCGAGGCUCAACCUCGAGACGCCGAUGGAAACCGUCUGGCUAGAGUCCGGAAGAGGAGAGUGGAAUUCCUGGUGUAGCGGUGAAAUGCGCAGAUAUCAGGAAGAACACCCGUGGCUAAGGCGGCUCUCUAGUACGGUACUGACGCUGAGACGCGAAAGCGUGGGGAGCGAACAGG
rnacentral:rRNA from 1 species